UACGAAGGGGGCUAGCGUUGUUCGGAAUUACUGGGCGUAAAGCGCACGUAGGCGGAUACUUAAGUUAGGGGUGAAAUCCCGGGGCUCAACCCCGGAACUGCCUUUAAUACUGGGUAUCUCGAGUUCGAGAGAGGUGAGUGGAAUUCCAAGUGUAGAGGUGAAAUUCGUAGAUAUUCGGAGGAACACCAGUGGCGAAGGCGGCUCACUGGCUCGAUACUGACGCUGAGGUGCGAAAGCGUGGGGAGCAAACAGG
rnacentral:rRNA from 1 species